rnacentral:piRNA from 1 species
UAAAUCACCUUAUAAGGGAGUAACAAUGGC